rnacentral:tRNA from 1 species
GGGGUUGUGGCUCAGUGGUAGAGUGCUUACCUUGCAUGUGUGAGGCACUGGGUUUGAUUCUCAGCACCA